rnacentral:tRNA from 1 species
GGGGUUGUAGCUCAGUUGGUAGAGCGCUUGCAUGGCAUGCAAGAGGUCGUCGGUUCGAGCCCGAUCAGCUCCACCA